AAGUCGUAACAAGGUCUCCGUAGGUGAACCUGCGGAGGGAUCAUUAACACGUGUAAAAACGUAUUCUAUUUCUAUACCUAUAUCAACCAAUACCGUGAACUAUGUUAUAUACCCUAUUUUUGAUUUUUUAAACCCUUUUCCAACUUUAUUUUUUUUUUAAAAAUCUUUUUAUCCUUUUCUUUGUUUGUUAUAUUGUUGUUUCACGACACGAUAUAAUAUAUGAAAAAAUGAAUAAGAAAAACCAUAAAAAAAUACAAAAGCACAACUCUUAGCAACGGAUAUCUUGGUUCUC
rnacentral:misc_RNA from 1 species